UUAUAGUUUAUAUACUCGUAUCAAAGUAGAUAUAGAUAUUAGAGAUUUAGAGAGUAGGAAGACACGGGCGAUUGAGUAGACCUGAGAGAGCCCCCAUCAAAAGCCGAUAUCUUACCAUUAAAAGCAGAUUGAAGAAUACAUAUCGGGUUGAGAGAAUACCGACGGAUUCAUCAAGCUCAAAAGAUUUUAGAAGACUUAUGACUAGAUCAAGAGCUCUCCGAGCACUUACAGGACACGCCUAGCUAGCGUGAUUGAGGAGGAGAUAAACUUAAAAUCAUGGACCCGAAAAAGCUUAAUCUGAUCGAAAACAUGACUUUUGACAGGAAUGAUAUAUACUUAUUAAAAUUAGGGUAGACAAAUGGGAAGUAUAGACUUCCUUUUGCUUAUUCAUAGGUUUCUAGAACGAGCUGAUCGAGGAUUA